GGCGAGUAAAGUGGCGAACGGGUGUAGAACACGUAGGAAUCUACCCAUUAGUGAAGGAUACCCUCGAGAAAUCGAGGCUAAUACUGCAUAAGUCCCUUCGGGGAGAAAGACGGCCUCUUGCUGUCGCUGAUGGAUGAGCCUGCGUACUAUUAGUUUGUUGGUGGGGUAAUGGCCUACCAAGACAAUGAUGGUUAGCCGGCCUGAGAGGGUGUACGGCCACAUUGGGACUGAGAUACGGCCCAGACUCC
rnacentral:rRNA from 1 species